GAUGAACGCUGGCGGCGUGCUUAACACAUGCAAGUCGAACGAAGCACUUUAUUUGAUUUCCUUCGGGACUGAUUAUUUUGUGACUGAGUGGCGGACGGGUGAGUAACGCGUGGGUAACCUGCCUUGUACAGGGGGAUAACAAUUGGAAACGGCUGCUAAUACCGCAUAAGCGCACAGCAUCGCAUGCUGCAGUGUGAAAAACUCCGGUGGUAUAAGAUGGACCCGCGUUGGAUUAGCUAGUUGGUGAGGUAACGGCCCACCAAGGCGACGAUCCAUAGCCGACCGGAGAGGGUGACCGGCCACAUUGGGACUGAGACACGGCCCAAACUCCUACGGGAGGCAGCAGUGGGGAAUAUUGCACAAUGGGCGAAAGCCUGAUGCAGCGACGCCGCGUGAGCGAAGAAGUAUUUCGGUAUGUAAAGCUCUAUCAGCAGGGAAGAUAAUGACGGUACCUGACUAAGAAGCACCGGCUAAAUACGUG
rnacentral:rRNA from 1 species